GAUGAAGAACGUAUCGAAAUGCGAUAAGUAAUGUGAAUUGCAGAAUUCCGUGAAUCAUCGAAUCUUUGAACGCACAUUGCGCCCUCUGGUAUUCCGGGGGGCAUGCCUGUCCGAGCGUCAUUUGCAACCCUCAAGCCCGGCUUGUGUGAUGGGUGCCGUCCCCUACGGGACGCGCCCCGAAGGCAAUGGCGGCGUCGCGGUUAUCCGAUCAGCCAAAGUGUAUGGGGCUUUGUCACUCACUUUACGGCCCGGACCGGCGCCAGUCCGAAUCAAUCUUUUUUCUAAAGUUGACCUCGGAUCAGGUAGGGAUACCCGCUGAACUUAAGCAUAUCAAUAAGCGGAGGA
rnacentral:misc_RNA from 1 species